rnacentral:rRNA from 1 species
GGGUGCGAUCAUACCAGCACUAAUGCACCGGAUCCCAUCAGAACUCCGCAAUUAAGCGUGCUUGGGCGAGAGUAAUACUAGGAUGGGUGUCCUCCCGGGAAGUCCUUGGUUGCACCCC